GGUCCGCAGCUGACGGAGGGAGCUGCGCACCCCGGAGGUGUGUGGGUACCCGCGGGUAGUGUCACGGACACGGACAGGAACCCACGGGGGAGAUGCAGCGUAGCCGGUGCCGGCUGGAAGGCAAGCCGGCGGGCUUCCGUGCAGAAAAGGAGUUAAACCCUGCCGUUGUCCUUUGAUUUAGGAAACGGCUCAUCCAAUUCAGUUCCAGAUUAUUCAGGGGCAGACUGCCUCCCUCGCUCCCUCUCUCCCCACACCAGCCCAAACAUCUUGAAGUAAUCAGCAGCUGAGAACGGAGACGUCCCCCUGGCAUCUCAGGUUAAAGAAGGAGGUCCAGGAAAAUGUGGUAGAGCCAUUACAAGAAACCUGAGAUGCAUUCAUCAGAGACUCCAAUUGCCAUCGCAUUAGGAUUGAUUAGAGACCAGCAGUACCGUAAUGACCCGGAAAGCGGGGCAUACGGGGAUUAUUAAUAUCAGACUUCUUGGGAAAAAAAAAAAAAAGAAAAGGAGAAAAGGAAGCAAGGAGGGAAAAUUUAAAACACAAAAGCACAUCGCGGGGCUGCUGCUCAUAUGCAGACUUACCUGAGGAGCACAGGCACUGGAGAGCCGCAGAGACGAACAGCAAGUGGAUGGGAAAGGAGCCCUCUACAACACAAACCUCAUUGACUUAAUGGGCCGGUUUUGGAUUUCGCCUUCGAAAGGUUCGGAAAGCGACAGCGUUGUGUUACUGCCCCGCCGGCUCCAGCCCCCGUUAUCAUCCCCGUGAGACGGGGCUCCGGAAAAUAAAAAUGUCGCUGAUUUGA